UACGUAGGGACCGAGCGUUGUCCGGAUUCAUUGGGCGUAAAGAGCUCGUAGGCGGCUGCUCAAGUCGAAUGUGAAAACUCGAGGCUCAACCUCGAGCCUGCAUUCGAUACUGGGCGGCUAGAGUCUGGUAGGGGGAUCUGGAAUUCCUGGUGUAGCGGUGGAAUGCGCAGAUAUCAGGAGGAACACCGGUGGCGAAGGCGGGUCUCUGGGCCGAUACUGACGCUGAGAAGCGAAAGCGUGGGGAGCGAACAGG
rnacentral:rRNA from 1 species